AUGGUUGCCGGCGGUGGCGGUGUGCGGCGGAGGGGCGGGGGCCAGCUGCGGCGGCGCGUGGCAGGGUUCGGUGCCGCGCUGGAGCGAGGAGAUGCGCUCGAGGUGGAGACGGGAGACGUUGGAACCCAGGAUCCAGAUGCCACCGUCGAGAUGACUCCUACUACACUGGAGGUGCCUACUACUACGUGCAGGCCGCUGACGACGACCGAGAGUAGUUUAGGAGAAUCCCAGGCAGGAGGCAUGCGCCUCUUUCGAUCUAUAUCCCAGUUUGUGCUAGCCAUCUUAUGGCAACUUGUUUAA
rnacentral:rRNA from 1 species